rnacentral:rRNA from 1 species
GGGGCCCCGCACAAGCGGUGGAGCAUGUGGUUUAAUUCGACGCAACGCGAAGAACCUUACCUGGGCUUGACAUGCUUGGGACAGCGCUGGAAACAGCGUCUCUCCUUCGGGAGCCCUUGCACAGGUGCUGCAUGGCAGUCGUCAGCUCGUGUCGUGAGAUGUUGGGUUAAGUCCCGCAACGAGCGCAACCCUCGUUACUAGUUGCCAUCAGUGCGGCUGGGCACUCUAGUGAGACUGCCGGUGAUAAACCGGAGGAAGGUGAGGAUGAUGUCAAGUCAUCAUGGCCCUUACGCCCAGGGCUACACACGUGCUACAAUGGUCGGCACAAAGGGUCGCUAAGCCGCGAGGUGGAGCUAAUCCCAAAAAGCCGGCAUCAGUUCGGAUUGGAGUCUGCAACCCGACUCCAUGAAGGCGGAAUCGCUAGUAAUCGCGGAUCAGCAUGCCGCGGUGAAUAUGUUCCCGGGGCUUGUACACACCGCCCGUCAUAUCACCCGAGUCGGGAUACCCGAAGUCCGUGACCCAACCAGUUGGAGGGAGCGGCCGAAGGUGUG